rnacentral:rRNA from 1 species
AAACUUUCAACAACGGAUCUCUAGGCUCUUGCAUCGAUGAAGAACGCAGUGAAAUGCGAUAAGUAAUGUGAAUUGCAGAAUCUCGUGAAUCAUCGAAUCUUUGAACGCACAUUGUGCCCUUUGGUAUUCCAUAGGGCAUGCCUGUCUGAGCGUCA